rnacentral:sRNA from 1 species
AUUUACUGAAGGGAAUAAUAAACUCCUUGGCACUCUGGAAGGGAUCACUGCCAAGUUACCCUCCCUCAACAGGGAUUAAUCACCAGGAAUAAAGCAUUUUCCAAGAGGAUCAUCUGUGGGACCUGUGGUAGUUUCAUGGCAUUUUCUCUUUAUGGAAGUCUGUUAAGCCAAGAUAGGGCUGAAGCGCCUGUGCUACUGUAGGUCUGGUGAAAGGGAGGGGCAGGAGCAGAAAGCCCAAAUCAUCCUUUCUUUCUUGUAGAUUUGGGAAGGUCUGACCUUGAGGUUUCAUCGGGUGAUUGCCCUUGAUUUCUUAGGCUUUGGCUUCAGUGACAAACCGAGACCACAUCACUAUUCCAUAUUUGAGCAGGCCAGCAUCGUGGAAGCGCUUUUGCGGCAUCUGGGGCUCCAGAACCGCAGGAUCAACCUUCUUUCUCAUGACUAUGGAGAUAUUGUUGCUCAGGAGCUUCUCUACAGGUACAAGCAGAAUCGAUCUGGUCGGCUUACCAUAAAGAGUCUCUGUCUGUCAAAUGGAGGUAAUUGCCUUGGCGGUAGGUAGAAAGUGGGUGUAGUCUAGAAGGGCCAUCUUUAGAUACAGCGGCACCUAAAUGGUAAUCUGAUAAUGUUUCAAGUAGACAUAAUUAAACUAUGGGAUCUCUACCUCUUCUGUGCCAUCAACUCCUUUGGUGGUCUGACAAGAUUUAUGGACCCUUUCUCUGAAUGUUUUUACAUAAAGAAACAAACAGCAUUACAAAGGAUAGUGACUUUACUUACAUAGUCAAUAAAAAGCUGCAUUAUAGUCAUAUGUGCUUUUUCAAUGCAUUAGAUAGCAAGUUCUAGUGGAGGACCUAGUAACAGCU